GAAUGGAAGAGUGUGUGAAAACUAGAAAAUAAAUGUGAAAUAAAAUAAAGUAUACCGAAAUAUACAAGUGCUAAUGAAAUAUAAUCUGUGACACUUAAGUUAACGCCCCGAUGAAAAGGGUGUAUAUAAAAAACACAUAUCGCAUUCAAUAUGAAAAAUGCUUUAGUUCGCAGCACUUGCUAUGUAUCCGUUCGGGAUGAAAAACUUUCUAAGCGGAAGUCGCAUAUAAAGCUAAUAUUUGGUUGAAUUAUUUCAUUCAUGUUUGCUAUUGUACUCAUGCAUAGUGCAUUAAAUGUAUUUUUAACGAAUGUUUCACGUGCUAAAAAUAACAAUUAUUGCAAUUAUUGCCGUGCAGUGCAACGUGCGCGCAUGUGUGUGUGUGUGCGUGAGUAUAUAAAAAUUUUCUAUAUGCGCAAUGUUCGUUGAUAAGAGUUGCAAAAUUCGAGCCGAUUUGCUGGCGACCUCCAGUGUGACCCGGCGCCAUUGCCCCGUCUGUUGAUUAAUCGACCGGCAAUCAGUGAGUACGUGAGGCGCCUAGGUGCAUUGAGAUUUGCCUUUGGCCGAGCGACAGCUGAUCAGCAGAGCACCUUAAGUCAGUUGGGAGCAGCGAGCACCGCAACACGCGAUUCACGUGUUCCAAUGAACAAGCUCUGGCUAAGAUUGUCAUUGGGUACGAAAUAAUCUGGCGUGAAGACCCAAACUCAAUCUCCAUUGUUCAGUCAAGGAAAGCGAUGAUAUAUAUAAAUGUUAUCCAAGAAAGAGGACUUUUAUCCGAUAUACAGGGAAGUUCUCAACAAGUCACAGAAGCUGAAAUACCCUUACAAUGAAAAUACAACAAGAUUGCUAAAGGAUGUUACAGAAGACUUUUAGCUGAUAAAAUUAUAGCAAAGCGCAUGUCAUUAAACAUUGCCCUGUCAAACGGAAUGAAGAAGUCAUGGUAGCCUGCAUAAGGUAGGCACAUACAUAGUCCAAAAACGGGCAGAACAGGGCGCAGAUGUUAAUAAUCAAACGCACUUGAGACAACGAAGACAGCAGAGUUUCUAAGGCGAAAUCAACUGAUGCUGACCACAGUAUCCGCAUCUAUUUGUAGCUGGCCCAGUCUAUCAUCUUAGUAAUUAACGCAUUUAGAUCAUUUAGAAUUGCCGACAGCACGCGCAGCCAUCAACUUUUGUUUAGUAUUAAAUGCCAAAAUAUCUGAUGCUGGGCAAUCUACAAUCCACAGAUCUACAGCAAUCGCAUCUUACGGAUGCAAUUUUUCCGCACGGGUCAGCGGCGGGAUCGCCCAAACUGAACUCUCUCUCUCUCUCCUCUCUCUCUCUCUCUAUCGGGGCGCAACUUAAGUCCAAAUUUAGAUGUGUAUAGUAUUACGUAUAUGGACCUUCAUCUAUACUGACAGACAGUGCGUCUGUUUAUCCGACCGUGCGGCCAGCACGCGCUGGCCUCUUAGUCACUUUGGGGUUGUGCCUGAGAGUGCGAGUGUGUGCUGUGUGAGCUCCAAUGUUUAAAUAAUUUGA